rnacentral:rRNA from 1 species
CCUACGGGAUGCAGCAGUAGGGAAUCUUCCACAAUGGGCGACAGCCUGAUGGAGCAACGCCGCGUGGGUGAAGAAGGUCUUCGGAUCGUAAAACCCUGUUGUUAGAGAAGAAAGUGCGUGAGAGUAACUGUUCACGUUUCGACGGUAUCUAACCAGAAAGCCACGGCUAACUACGUGCCAGCAGCCGCGGGAAUACGUAGGUGGCAAGCGUUAUCCGGAUUUUUUGGGCGUAAAGGGAACGCGGGCGGUCUUUUACGUCUGAUGUGAAAGCCUUCGGCUUAACCGGAGUAGUGCAUUGGAAACUGGGAGACUUGAGUGCAGAAGAGGAGAGUGGAACUCCAUGUGUAGCGGUGAAAUGCGUAGAUAUAUGGAAGAACACCAGUGGCGAAAGCGGCUCUCUGGUCUGUAACUGACGCUGAGGUUCGAAAGCGUGGGUAGCAAACAGGAUUAGAUACCCCAGUAGUC